GGAGAGGUGACCGAGCGGCCGAAGGUGCACGACUGGAAAUCGUGUGUGGUGAAAGCCACCGGGGGUUCAAAUCCCCCCCUCUCCGCCA
rnacentral:tRNA from 1 species